GGUUAAGCGACUAAGCGUACACGGUGGAUGCCCUGGCAGUCAGAGGCGAUGAAGGACGUGCUAAUCUGCGAUAAGCGUCGGUAAGGUGAUAUGAACCGUUAUAACCGGCGAUUUCCGAAUGGGGAAACCCAGUGUGAUUCGUCACACUAUCAUUAACUGAAUCCAUAGGUUAAUGAGGCGAACCGGGGGAACUGAAACAUCUAAGUACCCCGAGGAAAAGAAAUCAACCGAGAUUCCCCCAGUAGCGGCGAGCGAACGGGGAGCAGCCCAGAGCCUGAAUCAGUGUGUGUGUUAGUGGAAGCGUCUGGAAAGGCGCGCGAUACAGGGUGACAGCCCCGUACACAAAAAUGCACAUACUGUGAGCUCGAUGAGUAGGGCGGGACACGUGGUA
rnacentral:rRNA from 1 species